CCUACGGGUGGCAGCAGUGGGGGAUAUUGCACAAUGGGGGAAACUCUGAUGCAGCGACGCCGCGUGAGGGAAGACGGUCUUCGGAUUGUAAAGCUCUGUCUUUAGGGAAGAAAAUGACGGUACCCGACGAGGACGCUCCGGCUAACUACGUGCCAGCAGCCGCGGUAAUACGUAGGGGGCGAUCGUUGUCCGGAAUUACUGGGUGUAAAGGGGGCGUAGGCGGGCGAGAAAGUUGAAUGUUAAAUCUACCGGCUUAACUGGGAGCUGCGUUAAAAACUUCUUGUCUUGAGUGAAGUAGAGGCAGGCGGAAUUCCUAGUGUAGCGGUGAAAUGCGUAGAUAUUAGGAGGAACACCAGUGGCGAAGGCGGCCUGCUGGGCUUUAACUGACGCUGAGGCUCGAAAGCGUGGGGAGCAAACAGGAUUAGAUACCCGUGUAGUC
rnacentral:rRNA from 1 species